CCGAGGGCAACUUUACCCCCCACGGGACAUCUGACAAUGUCUGGAGACAUUUUAGGUUGCACAACUUAGGGGGGAGGGUACUACUGCUGAAGUGGAGAAAACCUGCACUAAAGAAACAAAGUAAGAACAGGCUUCACGUGGCCCACUGCUUCAUCCACUCUCAGGAAAUCCCAUGGCCGGGACUCAAGGGACUCCGCGAACCUUCGAGAAGCUCCACAGGGUACUAAACAGGUUAGAUUUGUUGAAAGAAUCCUGAUACAUUCCGAUAAUGGCCACAGCUCAGCUCUCUCACUCCAUCAGAAUUCACAAGGCAUCUAAGGAAACAGUUUUCCCAUCACAAAUCACUAAUGAGCAUGAAUCAUUGAUAAUGGUGAAGAAACUUUUUGCUACUUCUAUCUCAUGUAUAACAUAUCUAAGGGGCCUGUUUCCGGAGAGCUCUUAUGGAGAACGCCACUUGGAUGACCUCAGUUUAAAAAUCCUCCGAGAAGAUAAAAAAUGUCCUGGGUCACUGCAUAUUAUCAAAUGGAUUCAAGGUUGUUUCGAUGCUCUGGAAAAGAAAUAUCUACACAUGGCAAUACUUACACUUUACACAAAUCCCAAGGAACCUGAGAAAGUGACUGAGAUAUACCAGUUCAAAUUCAAAUACACAAAAGAAGGAGCCACUAUGGAUUUUGACAGCAGUAGUACAAGCUUCGAAAGUGGGACAAGCAGUGAAGAUAUUAAGAAAGCCAGUGUUCUACUGAUCCGUAAAUUGUAUAUACUGAUGCAGAACCUUGGACCCCUUCCUAAUGAUGUUAUACUUACUAUGAAACUCCACUACUAUAAUGCGGUGACCCCACAUGAUUACCAACCCCCUGGUUUUAAAGAAGGGGUAAACUCACACUUCCUGCUGUUCGAGGGAGAGCCCGUAAACCUGCAAGUGGGAUUGGUCUCCACUGGCUUCCAUAGCAUGAAAGUAAAAGUCACAACCGAGGCCACCAGAGUGUCUGAUUUGGAGAACAAUCUCUUUCAGGAGAACAGCACUACCGAAAUUGCCCAUCAGGGUCUAGACUGUGAGGAGGAAGAAGAAGAAUGCAACAAUCAUAAAUAGCUGUGGUCCAGAACCCUGGUCAUAAACUACAGAAAGUCAAGAAAGUAAAUGAAUGAGAAAAUUCUUCAUAAAUUCCAGUAAAACGUGAGACAGUUCCCAACAUAUCAGAGAGCUCACAGCUCCACUGGUGUUGGAGGUAAGAGUUCUCUUUAAGCAUUUGGUUUCUUACUGCUCAUUCAUCACAAUGUCAACAUGAGCUACAUUUAUGCUAAUAGCAUUUAUCUUAUAAUCGCUGUUGAUCUACCUUUCAUUGUGCAGAAAAGGUAAAUGUUAAGGGAGAGGAAUCAAAAUUAAAAUCACAGCUAUAACUCACUUAUAGGGGCACAGACCCUCUGUGAACCAAAAAAUUCCUUGAUCUGGGAACUUCCAAAUCCAAAGAUUCCAUACUUAAUGCUUGAUUAUAAAUCUAUAUUGGUAAGGACUGGUUUUCUAAGGAGAAAACAUUUUGCCAGAUCUCACCUGACAAAUAAUUUUGAAGUCAGCAAAAUUCACUGUACUCUCACCCCAGGCUAGUAAAGUACUUACAAGAUUUCCUGGUUGUCUGGGGCUGCCCCUCCCCUUGGUUCCCCACAAAGUGAGUACUGUGCCCUGAACUGCUUUUUCUAUAUCACACGUAUCUGUCUUCUUUCCAAAGCCUCUGAGGCCCUGCUUUUAGCAGGCUGCCACUUGGACACCAUUUGAUAAGUUAAUUUAUACUAAUUACAUACUGAGUAAUAAUUCUGGGGGAAUUUACAUUUUUAACAGAAGUAUGUUGUAUACAUAACACCUAACCCUAAGAGCCAGUCUAUUAAAGGGACAUUUCUCACUGUCACAUGUACCUUCCAUGUCGUUUCGUGAUUCAGUGUCUUUAAAUGAGCUGAAUCUUCUGCCCAGAAUGACCUCGUCCACCGCCAUCACCCCUACCACCAUCUCCAGUCUGGUGAACUCCUACUCAUUCUACAAGACCCAGCUCAAUGUUCCUCUUCUGCUAAGAAGCCUUCUCUAAAUUCUCCAGGUUGUGGUGGUCACUCCCUCUUGACUUUUAUAAAACUUUGUAUACUUGCUCUCUCAAUUUCUUUUAUUUUUUAUGCACUCUUCAACUGACUUCACCGUGACUUCUGCCUCCACCAGUCCAAUGCACCUAAUAGCCUCCAUGUAGCUAAAUCAAGUGGCCAUGUUUCAGUCUUCAUCUUCCUUGACCUCUCAGCAACACCUGACACUAUUGACUACCACCAUCACUCCUUUUUAUUCUCCCCUCCCUCUUCUUAAAACUUUCUUCCUGUGGCUUUCUUUACAUGACAAUUUGCUGGUCUUUUCUCUCUCUUUCUCAAUCUCCUUUGUUGGCUCAUCUUUCACUUAAUUUCUAAAUGUUGGAGUUGCUUAAGGCUGUGUCCUGGCCCCUUUCCCUUCUCACGCUCUGAUCUCUCAAUAAGCAAACUCUUCCACACCCAUGGCCUUAAUUAACCUCCAUAUGCUGAUGACUCUCAAGUUUAUAUCUCCAAUCAGACCUCUCUCCUGAGCUCCAGACUUCCAUAUACAGCUACCUAUUCAAUAUGUCCACUUGGGGUUUCACAGGUACUCAGCAGGUUCAAAAUUCCAAUUGUUCUCUACCUGAGAGAAUAGAACCUUCAUCCAUGAAGUUAGCUAAACCAGAAACUGGGAGUUAUUAUUGACCUAUCUACCUCUCCUUUAUCAUCAUAUCCAAUUGCCCAUCCUUCUGACUCUACCUUCUAAAUAUUUUUCUCACUGUUAACUUUUUUCCGUCUACACUGCCACUCAAGUUAUCACCUGACUACUACAAUAGCGUGACUCAUCACCCUGCAUCCACUUGAUGCCUCCAAUACAUUUCUACACUGCAGGCAGAGUGCUCUUUGAAGAGUCCUUCAUUUGUUCAUCAAAAAAACAUUUAUUGAGCCCCUACUAUGUGCAAGUUGUGACCAAGACAGGCAUGUUCCUGAUCUCCUGGAACUCUAUUAAGAGCAUGUGAUUGGGGGACCUAAUUUAAUUGGAACAGAAGUAGGGUAACUUUCUUUGAGGAAAUAAUUUUUCAUCUAAGAUCUGAAGAAUGAAUAGGAUUAACUAGGCCAAGAGAGGGCUGGUGGAGGGGAAAGAGCAUUUUAGGCAGAAGGAACAUAAUAUGCAGAGAUCCGGAAUCAGGAAGAAGCAAGGUAUGAGAAAACUGAGAGGGCAGAGAGUGAGAGUAGAGCACAGGAGAUGAGGCUGGUACUGCUGGGCACAGACAGGCCCUGUGGGGUAGUGACUCUAUUGGGAAGAACUCAGGAGGCCUAGGAGCCUCCUCAAAUGGCCUGCUACAGUGGGUGAGUAUGUGAGUGGAGAUAUGAGCAUUUUUCUGAGGAGAGAGUGCAUGGCUUUCAUCAGGGUCUUAUAGCCAAUCUGUGAGCCCUCUCCUUCCCUAGAAAUGUAAAGAACCCCUGACAGUGCAUGAAAAGCCAAGGUAAGGACUUUGGACUUUUUCCUAAAAGCAGUAAGAUGCCAUUGGAUAUUAUUAAGCCAAAAAGUAACAUGGCCAGAUUGUAAAAUCUAUAGGGCAGGCUUCUUAUCUCUUUUGUUCAUUAAUGUGUCCCAAGCACCUAGAAAAGUAUCAUGCAUAGAGCUGACACUCGAUAAAUAAUUGCUGAAUGAAUGAAAGUCUAUUGUGGCUAUUGAAUGGAUGUCAAUUAUGUUGUAUUACAUUAUAUUGUAAUUGUGUGCUUAAUGCCUUUCCUUACAAGACUCAAUCCUUGAAAACGACUGUGUCUUAUUCAUCUUUAUAUUACUAGAGAUAUGGUACUAGUACCCAGAGCAGUGCCUGGCUUAAAAUCAGUAUCAAAAUGGAUUCAUUCAUUCAGCCAAUAAUUUAAGAGGCACCUACCAGAUGCCAGGAACUGGGAAUGCAAAGAUGACUAAGAUAUUGUCACUAACCUCAAGGAGUUUGUACUCUAGAUGAGAAGACUGGUAAGUAGGCCUGAUAACACCAUGUAGUAAAUGCCACAAAAGAUGUAAGAACAGAACACAGCCCUAGGGGUGUCAGAGAAGGCCAGUAGGCAGAGGAAACCCCAGGGUGGACCCUGGGCCUGGAGAUGAAGGGAGGAGCAGAGCAUGGGAGUGGGCAUUAAAGGCAAAGUCCAGAGGGGAGCAAGCAGGGCCCAUUUGGAGAAUGCAAUUGGUUAAGUAAGUCUGAGGCAAGAUGAAGCUGCAGAGAUGGGCCACGGCCAUAAAGAACCUGGCCUUUAUCCUGAAGACAAUGGGAAGUCAUUAAUGGAUAGUUGAUGAAUCAGAAGAGUGAUGUGGUCAGAUUUACAUAGAAGACUACUUAGGCUCCAGAGUGGAGAAAAGGUUGGAAAAGCAGUAAUAGUGGAAGUUCAAGGCCCAAUAAUUGGGAAAGAUGAUGUUGGCCUGGGCUAAAGUAGAGACAAUGGCAUUAGAGAAAAAUGGAUAGAUUUGAGAGAUAUUAAGGAGGUAUGGAUCAACAGAAAUUAGUGAUUAGUUAGAUGUUAGGGUGAGAAUGAUGGAGUAGCCAUGGAUGACUCCCAGGUUUUUAACUUGGACACCUCCAGGGUAAUGACAAGAAUGAGAACAAAGAUUGGGAGUAGCCUGACAGAGGCAGAUGAUAAAUUCCAAUUCUCGACACACUGCUUUUGAGUUUUCUUUGGAAUAACCAUGUGGAGACUUUUAGUAGGCAGUUGAUUACACACAUGGAUCUGGAGUUCAAAAGGAAAAUCUAGGCUGAAUAUAUCAAUGUGGGGGGUCUUUGCUUAUAAAUGGUAACUGAUUCCUAGGAGUGGAUGAGAUCACUCAGAGAGAGUGUGGAGAAUAAGGAGAAAAGAUGGUCAAAGACAGAACUCUUGGAGAACAUUCAAGAUGUUUUUUUAAAUGGAUGAAUAGAGGAAUUAAUGAUAAAAGGACUCAUUUAGAAGAAGGGACCCCUUCCAGUGCUGUUCAAAUACUGCUACCAAGUCAGCCAGCAAUCCUAUCUGUGCUUAAGGCAAAACCUUCUCUUUGGCUUCUCAAAUGGAGAAUUUGUUACCAAACCAAAAAUAGAAAGGAGGGAAAUAUCAUCCAGCAGAAAGCAUAUAUUCAGGGCUUUUAUCAGACAUAUAUGGAGAUACUCUAUUCCUGAGGCUCUAGUAGUAAGUGAAUCAUAGUAGCCUCUUAUUAGUCUAUAUUCAAGAAACAUUUUAAAAGCUAUCAGUUUAAAAUAUAAUAUAAGAAGCAUUAGAAAUCAUUUGAUGAUCAUUUGAUGUUACUCAAAUCAUAGAUUUUUCUAGCCUGCCUGAUUGCUGGUCCUUUGCUUGCCUAGUUGGCUUUGGCAUCAAAUAUGCAAACUCAGCCAGUUGGAAUACACCUGAAUAGUGUUUCUCAAAUGUUCCUUUGUAUGGUUUAUAUAGUUUAUAUAGAUUAUUCAUCUAUGUCAGGAAGUGUCCCCUGACUGAUCACAUGCUUGCUUUUGAACCCACUAGUUUUCUAUAAACCAUCAAGAGUUCCCAGGCCUCGCUGGUUUCCUUGAGAUUGUAUACAUUAUUAAACAUGUUUUGAUUAACUUACUGCAAUAAAAUUACAGUAAGUUCUGAAACUCGUAAUAAGACUCUGGUUUACUUGAGCAAAGAAGAAAAAGACAACAAAACUAUUAAACCAUCAGGCCAACUUCUCAUUUGAGGAUUUGUACAUCCAUCUUCUCUUCUUCCCAGUGUACCCAGACUUGAUAGAAGUGAGGAUAAUUUUGUUUGAAUGGAAAGCAUGCCCAAGCAACAUUUCUAGAAAAGCUGGAUUUUACCAAGUGCUUUUUCUUACAGCCAUACUGUAACACAUUCAUUUCCUAGAUAAAGAAGUUGGUUUUUGUGCUUUGGGUUUUUAUAUUGCUAUUUCCUUAGCUUUAGAGCAGAUCGCUUCAAACUUUUACAUACCUAAGUACACCAGUUAUUUGAUGAGCAGCUCCACUUAUUUUCUCAGAGUUUUACUGUUCUAUAUAGUCCGUGUCUUAGUUUAAGCCAAAAGGAAUUUACGGUUUCUGAGAUCAGAAAUUCAACUGCUUUCUAAAACUAAAAGAAAAAUUAGUGAUUACAUUAGCCAUUUGCAGAUCCAAUUUUUGGUUCUAAAUGGUGUUUAAGUGCUUUAUUGACAUUCCCACUAUUUUGAAAUAAUAACAUAUCAAUAAUAAUAAUCUGUAUCUAUAGCAAAAGGAAAAAGGGUAAUGUUGGAACCUCUACUAAAUGUUCUAAGUCUUGCUUAAAAAUAUAUAUCUCAGUCCAUUUUCCUACCAAAGAAAGAACAGAGGACAUAGAAAAACCUUUCCUCCCAUCUAGUGGCUGGAAAAUAUAAAAAUGUCCUCUGUGUUUCUUGGAAUUCCAAGCAUUAGGGAUUGUCUUACAGAUUAUAAUACAUCUAGUUGUUCACUCAGUUAAGCAAAAAUAAGUUCUAAAAUCGUUGCCAAAGCUGAGCCUAAUGGAGAAAUGUAUAUAUAUGAUGAUUCACUAAUCAACUUCCCUUUAAUCAAUAACAUAUACUUUUCUUCAGGCAGAAAGAAUGUCGAUGGUCCUUCCUAAUUCAUAAAUGUGAACCUAUGAUAGAAAAGAUAAGGCUGUAUGUUUCUGCUAAUUGAAAUUGGGACUUAAAUUCUAUUUGCCUCUAAAGCAAUUAGUGCCUAGAUCUCUUCUGACCCUUAAUUGUUCCUUGUUGGCCCCACGCCUUGACAACUCUUCCCUCAAGAGUUGAAUGUGCUGAAUUCACUAAAGAGAGCCAGGAAGCUGUCCCUGAAACUGGCUGCCUCCAGGGGACAUCAGCUCCUGAAACUUGGAAUACCGGCCUCUGAUACUGGCAGGAGGGCCUCUGUGCAGGGCCAAACCGCCCACAGGAAAGCAGAUUCAAAGAAUGAAUUUUAUGUGCAGUCAGCAAAGUUCUGAGAGCUCCAGGAAGAAGAGGAAGGUCAGCGAACCAGUGAAAGUCUUCAUCCCUGACAGAAAGUGAAAGUUAGAUGCCUCUGUUACAUUUAUUCUAAAAUGAUUUUAUUUUGCAACAAACAUGCAUGAAGUGGCUUAGUAGGAAAGUAAGUUUCUAUCACCAAAACCUUUUACUAAAUUUGUUGCUCAACUUUUUUAGUCAAUUUACUAAGUGCUGAAUUACCAGGUAGGACAUGGGGUCACUUUGCCACAGGGAAAAGAGGUGCCAGGGCUGCCUUGGGAUAGCAUUACUUCAAGGCUGAAUUAGAGAUGAGACACUCUUUAUAUUUGUAAAAGAACCACAGUAACUAUUUUGAGAAGAAAUAAGCUGUUGUUCUCAAAGGAGAGAAGGGUUCUCUUUGCAUAAUUAAACUCCCCAGGUAUUUAGACUACUGUGAAAUGUUUUAACUUGUUGUAACCUGUGUACUGGAAUCCCUCUAUAGCUUUAUUAGAAUUGUCAGAGAAUUACAUAGGAUGUUUGUGGUGGUGCUUAUCUAAGUGUGAUUUUUGUGUUAACUUCAAUCACGAAGUUGAUCAGCUAAGUGUUAAGCCAAAAUGUACUCUCCCUGUAAAGUUCCUCAAAUCUGGCCCUUGGUCCUGUUCUGUUGGCAAACCUGAGACUGGGAAAUAGGCUGCAGUGCGGGGGGCCUGGCUCCCAUCUUAAGACCAAUGUUGAAUGCUUCCCACCAAGCAUUUCAGUUUAUCAGUCUAUAACCUGAAAAUGAUGUUACUAGUCCCCUCCUUAUUCUGGAAGAGUUUUUAUAGACAUUGAUUAGUAUCAGAUGAAUAGUAAAUGACUUAAAAGUGUUAUUUUUGUCAUUUAUAUAACAUGGAAUUUAAUAAUUUAAUUUAAAUGGAUAGGACCAAUAUGUUAAAUGUUAAGUGUGUGUGCUUUCUGGUUAAAUAAACCAAAAUGCAAGGUA